rnacentral:rRNA from 1 species
AACGAACGCUGGCGGCAGGCUUAACACAUGCAAGUCGAGCGCCCCGCAAGGGGAGCGGCAGACGGGUGAGUAACGCGUGGGAAUCUACCCAUCUCUACGGAAUAACGCAUGGAAACGUGUGCUAAUACCGUAUACGUCCUUCGGGAGAAAGAUUUAUCGGAGAUGGAUGAGCCCGCGUUGGAUUAGCUAGUUGGUGGGGUAAAGGCCGACCAAGGCGACGAUCCAUAGCUGGUCUGAGAGAAUGAUCAGCCACACUGGGACUGAGACACGGCCCAGACUCCUACGGGAGGCAGCAGUGGGGAAUAGUGGACAAUGGGCGCAAGCCUGAUCCAGCCAUGCCGCGUGAGUGAUGAAGGCCCUAGGGUUGUAAAGCUCUUUCACCGGUGAAGAUAAUGACGGUAACCGGAGAAGAAGCCCCGGCUAACUUCGUGCCAGCAGCCGCAGUAAUAC